AUUGAACGCUGGCGGCAUGCCUUACACAUGCAAGUCGAACGGAUUGAAGGGGCUUGCUCCUUCAGUUAGUGGCGAACGGGUGAGUAAAGCAUCGGAACGUACCCAGUCGUGGGGGAUAACGUAGCGAAAGUUACGCUAAUACCGCAUACGAUCUGAGGAUGAAAGCGGGGGAUCGCAAGACCUCGCGCGAUUGGAGCGGCCGAUGUCGGAUUAGCUAGUUGGUGAGGUAAAGGCUCACCAAGGCGACGAU
rnacentral:rRNA from 1 species